UCGAUGCGGUUGCGGGGAUUUCCUCAGAACGAUAUUUUCCUAGCGCAUUGUGCCGCCGGGUCUAGGAUGGCCAUCCCCACAGGAGGCGAUGCGGCGGCGCUAGGGUCCGCCUCCAUCUACUCCUUCCACGACCGAUCGAUCGCCCUCUGCCAUCCCCUGCGACCCUCGUCGCCGGCCCCUCCCGCCGUCCGCCGGCGCCGCCUCGCAGAGAAAUCGGUCCGGUUCACACCCUAUUUUUAUCCUUGAAAGGGGGCAAGACCGCAAGACUUGUCAUUAAUUUUGCAAAUGAUCUGCAGCUAGAGGGCCAGGCUCAACAUGGAGCCAAGACUCUGCUUCAUGGACUGUACAAGCAUACUUAGCACAGUGUUGAACUACGGAAUUGAUUAGUCAUAUUUUUACAGGUUUUAAAAUUGUAAAUGCAAAUGGCUCUUGAGACCCAUGGGUAUGUCACGCUUCUGAGCAGAAAUUGUUGGAACAACUUUUGAACAGGGACCGUCAGAACAAAGUAAGUACUUGUAUUUUUUUCAUAUCAUUUUUUCCAUUGUGAUUGAUUUAAAGGCACAACUUAUGUGACCAAGUUAGAAUAAUUUUAUUUUUCUGUAACAGAAAAAAUUGCUAACUCUGUUAGGUCCAUAUAGUCCCUUAAAGUUGUUGGGUACUCAUACCAUCUGUGGGUAUCACGACUGUGAUGAUUUUUUAAGUGCAUACGAGUUAGCUUCCCCGUGUGUGGAUUUUUUAAGUGCUUGUGUUAGAAUAUAACGUGGGUGAUGUGCUUUUUGCAUAUGGCUUUGCACUAAGGUCUAUUUGUUUUCAGCUCAGCAUGUUCACAUUUUGGUUGAAAAGGAUCCUAUUUAGUCUUCAUUUGUAUGUGUAUUAAUGUAACGAGCCUGCAAUUAUAUUUUGGAUAUUAAAGCAUUGUUUAAGAAAUCGAUGAUUAAUCGUUGCUCGGUGGUUCAGCGUCUAAUUUACUUAUAUUCGGUUGAGUUUAUCGACUUGACUCAUUUUUCGGUAUGUCAUCUGAUUUUUCGUCCCGUAGUGAUUAACUGCUGGUUCCAAAUCCACCAAAAAGCCAUGCACUCUGCCUUCCCUCAUCUGCAACUAGGUCCCCCUCCUCCCCCCUCCACAAGUGCCACCACUAGAUGCAGAGCUUCGGCUGCCAGAUCUAGCCUGGCCGAAGAGCCGCCUGCCUGUCCUCCUCCUGUCUAUCUCCCUUCUCUGGCUCCCCUAAUAGCGGCUGCGUGCAGCAACAAGCAUUGUUAGCCCGGCCACAGUGCCGUCUCCAUCCCUUCUCCGGACCUCCAGGAACCCCUCUCCCUCUCUCCAAAGUCCAAGGUACGUCUCUCGUAUUAUUCUUUUGUUCUUCAAAUCUACCUACUGUUUUCUACUCAACCUUGUAAGACGACUAACCCAAACUAUAGUUGUGCCCCUAACAAUAACCAUCAAAAAGUCUAGAAGAUCCACACGAAGUUAAGUCAGGGAUUAGUCCUUUUUUCCUUUUUACUAGAUAUGAAGCUGAAAGGACUUGAGAGCAUCAAAUUUUUGGUUUUCUUGAUGGAUAGAUUGGUGUAUUGGCAAUGGAAGCCCUUGAAGACUACACAUUCUAUCCAAUGUGUCCUGUUUUGCCAAAUAGCGGUAAACGUAUAGUUGCUCCCAAUAAAUAUAAGCAAAAAAAGAGGCAUUAUCCAACCUAAAGUAAAAACUUAGAACUAAACCUGGUGUAGAUGUCAAAGUGUAAGACUUGAUUAACUGACUCAAAAAAGGAGACAUCGAUUCAUUCUCAAUCAUGUGUUUUAUCUUGGUUCUCUGAGGCAAGCUCCUUGUGUUAGGGACGUUUGCAUUGACAAAGGACAUGGCAAUGUUGUGCUUGGUAAACUGGGUUGGUGUCGUUUUUGAUGACAUUGCUAUUGCUGCUAAAUUAUGACGCUCGAAGAAGAAAGCUUGCAUGAACCCUUUCAUGUAUCGAGGUCUUAUGUUUCUACUUAAUACGUUCUUGAAGUAACUUGCACGGAGCUUGUACGGAGUACACAAUGUGGCAUCUGAUUGGAGUCCAUACUCACUCGCCAUCUCCUGCCAAGCAUUCUGAAAGUCCAUCAGGGUUAGUGGGUGAUUUACCGUUGUGAGUAGCUUUUCUUCCAACCCUUUAGUCAAGUAAUAAAGUUUGUUUAAGCUUUCAGUGUGUUUGCUUAACAUAUGCUGCCUGCAAAGCCUAUGAAUCGUCUUCAGAGAAACACAGCUCAAAGAGCAUUUGCUCUAGCUUGGUCUUGAUCUGCAAGAAAAUUAUUAUUCAGCAAAAAAAUGAUUGAUGGACAUGUAUCUACACAAAAAAGGCCAAAUUUAGCUGUCAGUAUGCAAAUAGGAUCAUCGCCUUUCAUGCAUCUCUUGCAUGUUCGAAAAACCAAUUGAAAAGUUUUCUUGUCUCGUCAUGGAUGAGGACAAAUCCAAAUAUGAUGUUCUGCAAAUGGUGGUGGUUCCCAACAAACAUUCCGAAUGGCAUGCAGUAAAAAUUGCUCCUAUAUGUGGUAAAUGUGAACACAUCUCCAAACUUAGCAUAGUAGCUCGCCAGCUAGAAUGACUUUAUAAAUUUUCUUCCCAACACCUUCUGAAUCAAAGUCAAUGUCAUAAUAAAAUUUCAGGUUAUGUGUUAUAUACUCAUUGAAGAAGGCCAUGUGCUUUUUUACGUCACCCACAUACUCUCAUACAUAAGCCGCCCUUCUGGAUUUCAUAUGUCAGUUUAUAUCAUUCUAGAGUGAUCAAGUUAGUAGGUACAUUACCCAUUGUUUAAAACGUAUGGAUGCAACUGAGUUGGAAUUGAGAUUCCUGUGUUUGAGGUCACGUUCAUUCAAUGGGAACGGCAAGAGCUUAGGGUCUUCAUUUAAUGUAGCCAACACAUUCAUGAUUGCGAUAGGAGAGAUGCCAGUUUGCUGCAGAUCAUCAGCAUAAUCCAUAAUAAUAGGGUCCUUAUUCUUGUGUGAACACAUGUGCUUCACCUCACAUGAAUUAGGGUUGAGAGUUCGGUUGUGCUGCAACUCUACAUUCUAAUAAAACCAUUAUUUUCCUUUCAUCUUGAUCUUGAUCACAACCUUGUAGCUAACCCUCUUCGACAUCUUUGCACGUUUGCGCUCCUCGCCUUUCUUGUGAAAUGUACAAGAACCUUGCCGAGAGCAAGCAUACAAGCGUGACAUCGCCUUGUUCUUGUGUUUCUUAAUUCCAAACCCGGCUUCUCUUGCAUAUUGCUGAUAAAACCCAUAGCUUUCCUCAUUUGUAGCAAAAACCAUAUUGCUUUUGGAAUAAAAUUCUCACGAACUUGCUCAUCCUGAUAUCGAUUAUAAACACAAACGCCUCAAAGUGCUGCCAUAAUAUUUUUGUUCCAUAUAGAAGUUGAGAGAGCAUGUACAUGUAUAUAUCUUGCGUUUGGCUCUGGUGUCAACAUUUUGUCUGGUCGAACUUGAUGCGGCGGUGUUAUCGUGGACAAGUGCAUCGCCGGAUGACGUGCAGUUGGGUCCUCUCCAGCCAUCGAUCUAGUUGACCAGUUGGGGUUCGAAGCUCCGACGUCAUGGCUCGAGUGAAGUAAAAUGUAUGGCAAUGCACGGUCAGGCACAACAACAUUUUUUGAAGAAUCAGAUGUAUCAUCGGGUGUUCGUCAGCGGAAGCUUGGAGAGGUGUACACGAUAUCUUGCAAUUUAUUUUCAAGCAGGGCCUAAGAUUGCUAACCACAAAGAUUCUACUGGGUGAUCUUGUAUUUUCAAUCGCAUCUUGUGUAUACUAAAGCAGCUUGAACUAGUAAAAUAAUACAAGCAUGUGGAACGACGUCACAAUUUAUUGCACAAUAGACAUAUUGAGGCAAACAUAACAAUUGUAAA